rnacentral:rRNA from 1 species
CAGUCGCCGCGGUAAUACGAAGGGUGCAAGCGUUAAUCGGAAUUACUGGGCUUAAAGCGCGCGUAGGUGGUUUGGUAAGAUGGAUGUGAAAUCCCCGGGCUCAACCUGGGAACUGCAUCCAUAACUGCCUGACUAGAGUACGGUAGAGGGUGGUGGAAUUUCCUGUGUAGCGGUGAAAUGCGUAGAUAUAGGAAGGAACACCAGUGGCGAAGGCGACCACCUGGACUGAUACUGACACUGAGGUGCGAAAGCGUGGGGAGCAAACAGGAUUAGAUACCCCUGUAGUCCCUGUCUCUUAUAC